rnacentral:tRNA from 1 species
AACGACGUAGUUUAUUAAAGAAUACUGGGUUUGCGUCUCAAAGGUGGACUUGGUGUCCCUUCGUUA